rnacentral:rRNA from 1 species
GACGAACGCUGGCGGCGUGCUUAACACAUGCAAGUCGAACGGUGAAGCGCCUUCCUUUUUAGUGGGUGUGGAUGAGUGGCGAACGGGUGAGUAACACGUGAGUAACCUGCCCCCUUCUUCUGGAUAACCGCAUGAAAGUGUGGCUAAUACGGGAUAUUCUGGGUCUGUCGCAUGAUGGGUCUGGGAAAGAUAUUGUUUCGGUGGGGGAUGGGCUCGCGGCCUAUCAGCUUGUUGGUGGGGUGAUGGCCUACCAAGGCGGUGACGGGUAGCCGGCCUGAGAGGGUGGACGGUCACACUGGGACUGAGACACGGCCCAGACUCCUACGGGAGGCAGCAGUGGGGAAUAUUGCACAAUGGGCGCAAGCCUGAUGCAGCGACGCCGCGUGAGGGAUGAAGGCCUUCGGGUUGUGAACCUCUUUCGCCAGUGAAGCAGGCCUGCCUCGUUUGUGGGUGGGUUGACGGUAGCUGGAGAAGAAGCGCCGGCUAACUACGUG